CAGUAGCCGCGGUAAAACAGAGGGUGCGAGCGUUAAUCGGAUUUACUGGGCGUAAAGCGUGCGUAGGCGGCUUCUUAAGUCGGAUGUGAAAUCCCUGAGCUUAACUUAGGAAUUGCAUUCGAUACUGGGAAGCUAGAGUAUGGGAGAGGAUGGUAGAAUUCCAGGUGUAGCGGUGAAAUGCGUAGAGAUCUGGAGGAAUACCGAUGGCGAAGGCAGCCAUCUGGCCUAAUACUGACGCUGAGGUACGAAAGCAUGGGGAGCAAACAGGAUUAGAUACCCGGGUAGUCCCUGUCUCUUAUAC
rnacentral:rRNA from 1 species